GGCGUGGUGGCAGAGUGGUCUAAUGCGAUAGACUCGAAAUCUAUUCUCUUCGGAGGCGUCUGUUCGAAUCAGGCCCACGUCG
rnacentral:tRNA from 3 species